GACGAUCGCUGGCGGCGUGCUUAACACAUGCAAGUCGAACGGUAAGGCCCUUCGGGGUACACGAGUGGCGAACGGGUGAGUAACACGUGGGUGAUCUGCCCUGCACUUCGGGAUAAGCCUGGGAAACCGGGUCUAAUACCGGAUAGGACCACUGCCUGCAUGGGUGGUGGUGGAAAGCUUUUGCGGUGUGGGAUGGGCCCGCGGCCUAUCAGCUUGUUGGUGGGGUGAUGGCCUACCAAGGCGACGACGGGUAGCCGGCCUGAGAGGGUGACCGGCCACACUGGGACUGAGAUACGGCCCAGACUCCUACGGGAGGCAGCAGUGGGGAAUAUUGCACAAUGGGCGCAAGCCUGAUGCAGCGACGCCGCGUGAGGGAUGACGGCCUUCGGGUUGUAAACCUCUUUCAGCACCGACGAAGCGCAAGUGACGGUAGGUGCAGAAGAAGGACCGGCCAACUACGUGCCAGCAGCCGCCGUAA
rnacentral:rRNA from 1 species